rnacentral:lncRNA from 1 species
UUAACUUAUCCCAUAGUCCCCUUGAAUAUUAUACUCCAAGGCUUUGCAUUCUAGAUUAGAAAUCUCUGACAGUGGAAGGUGCUAACUGGCCAGGACUGCUGACAGCAUAGGGAAAAUGAUCUGAAGCCAUUAUUUACAAGUUAUCACUUACUGGAAAACUGUUUAGGAGAUCC